UCCAUCAGUAUGUGCAAAAUAACCUUUCAAGAGAUAGUACAGUGAUCGAGACAUCCAAAUCAUAAACAACAUUUGGUCAUUGAUCCAUAUGGAUCUAACAAAUAGCUACCUUAAUCAAUACCAGAACUAAGAACCCUCAACCUUAAACAAUAUACAGACUACUGGCCAAAUACUACACGACUAAUUACACAAGAUCCAUUUGGCCAUCCUUGUGCAACUAGACAGAAUCAACCAAAAAACCAAUUUUAACC
rnacentral:lncRNA from 1 species